GGGCGGGGGAGAGUGAAGAACGCGCUCGCCGUCUCCCUUCGCAGCUCCCUCCUGAGGCGGGGGAAGGUCCGGGCCUAGGCUGCUCUGCUCGCGGCCGGGCCCGUCCCGAGGUGACGCCCGCCCCCGGCAGAGCUGCCGCUGCCCGGGCGCGGGGAGCGUCGAGCAGGUGCUUGGCUCCGGCUUGGGCCUCCUCUCCGUGGCCCGGCGUCCCGGCGGGGAGGGCACUGCGGCCGCCGGUCCCCGCGGCUCUGCCGCUGCCCAGAGUUUGCGGGUCCCUCCUGACACCCUAGAGAGGGUGGUUGGCCUCCCCCGGUCCGACGUGCAUCGCCUUGGGGACAGAUGUUUUUCCUUGAGAAUUGACUGGUGGCGUUUUUUUCUGGGCUGAGUUCCUGAACAGGGCUGGGUGACAGGUUUGCUGUAGCUAAAGUGAUGUCUGUUGUUUUCACUUGAAGUUUUGUGGGUUUUUUUUUUCCACAGCCAGUAUUUGGGUAUUAAACUGAAGCCAAAGCAGCAAGACCACACGUAAUACAUAAAUAACAUAAAUUGAGAUUGAAUAUGAAGACCUUUUGUGGAAGAGCUAAUCCAACCACUGGUGCAAUGGAGUGGUUAGAAGAGGAUGAGAACUAUGACUACCAUCAGGAAAUUGCAAGGUCACGCUAUGCAGAUAUGCUUCAUGAUAAAGACAGAAAUACAAAGUAUUACCAAGGUAUUCGUGCUGCAGUGAGCAGAGUAAAAGAAAGAGGUGAGAAAGCAAUUGUUCUAGACAUAGGGACUGGCACAGGGCUCCUGUCUAUGAUGGCAGCUUCAGCAGGUGCAGAUUUCUGCUAUGCAGUUGAGGUUUUCAAGCCCAUGGCUAACGCUGCUGUGAAGAUAGUAGAGAAAAAUGGUUUUCGUGACAAGAUCAAAGUAAUCAACAAGCACUCUACUGAAGUCAUAGUUGGCCCAGAUGGAGAUAUGCGAUGUCGUGCAAACAUCCUGGUAACAGAAUUAUUUGAUACAGAGCUGAUAGGAGAAGGAGCUUUACCAACCUACGAGCAUGCACAUAAAUACCUUGUACAGGAAGGAUGUGAGGCAGUGCCUCACAGGGCAACAGUGUACAUCCAAAUAGUGGAAUCCAAAAGAAUGUGGUCCUGGAACAAACUGUUGCCUGUUCAUGUCGAAGCAGAGGAUGGUGAAAAAAUUAUUGUCUCCCCUUCAGAAAUGGAGAACUGUCCAGGUGUUCCUUCUGUUUGUGAUAUCCAGCUGAACCAGAUGCCAUUGAAUGACUUCACUAUCCUUAGUGACGUGGUGCCAAUGUUCAGUGUGGAUUUCAGUAAGCCAGUAAGGAGUGCUUCUACCUACUACAGAGUGCAGCUGGAGCCUGUAAAAUCUGGCAAGGCACAAAUCAUACUUUCCUGGUGGGAUAUUGACAUGGACCCCUCUGGGAAGAUAAAUUGCACAAUGGCUCCAUACUGGGUAAAAUCCACUUCUGCUUUCCAGUGGAGAGAUCACUGGAUGCAGUGUGUGUAUUUUCUUCCAAAUGAGGAGCCAGUUCUCCAGGGUGAGACAGUAUACCUGACUGCCUGUCGUGAUGAGUACUCGGUGUGGUAUAAGCUGCAGAAAGCUAGAGGAGCAGAGGAGAAUAAAGCAGAUGUUUGUGUUGAGAGUCCUGUUUGUAGAUGUCAGGCUCAUCUUCUUUGGAAUAGACCGCGCUUUGGGGCAUUAAAUGAUCAGAACCGAACAUGCCAAUACAUCAAGUCUUUGAUGAAAGUUCUGAAAACAGAUAGUGUUUGCCUCUGUAUCAGUGAUGGCAGUCUGCUGCCUGUGCUGGCUCACUAUCUUGGAGCAAAGCAGGUGUUUACAUUAGAAAACUCUGCUGUGUCCUGUUCUGUCAUGGAAAAAUUUUUUAAAGCAAAUCAUCUUGACGAUAAAAUUAAAAUAAUAGAAGCACGUCCCGAGUUGCUGACGACUUCUCAUUUGGAAGACAAAAAGAUUUCUGUUCUUGUGGGAGAGCCAUUUUUUACUACGAGUUUGUUGCCGUGGCAUAACCUGUAUUUCUGGUAUGCUAGGACAUCUGUGACCAGUCACCUUACCAGCAAUGUCACCGUCCUACCUCAGUCUGCGUCUUUGCACAUGAUGAUUGUGGAAUUUCAGGACUUAUGGAGAAUCCGGAGUCCAUGUGGCACCUGUGAAGGUUUCGAUGUCCAGACUAUGGAUGAUAUGAUUAAAAAUUCUCUGAAUUUUAGGGAAUCCAGGGAAGCAGAACCUCACCCUCUGUGGGAAUACCCUUGCAAGUCACUCUCUGACCCCCAGGAAGUUUUGACAUUUGACUUCAGAAAGACUGUACCACAACAUGGUCUUGGCACAGAGGGUUCUGUAAAUCUUUUACGAAAAGGAAAGAGCCACGGAGCAGUUCUGUGGAUGGAAUAUCAUCUUGCUGCUGAUAUCUCUGUUAGUACAGGACUGAUGCAAAUUUCAAAUGAAAAGGGAAACUGUGAAUGGAAUCCCCACUGCAAGCAAGCUGUCUAUUUCUUCAGUUCUGUUAUUGAAUCAGAAACUCUGUCAGACCUUCCUAGUGCUGUCUCGUAUGCUAUAAAUUUCGACACAAAGACAGGAGAGAUUGCCAUGGAUUUUAAGCUAUUUGACUUCAGCAAAGUGAAAGGAAUGCCAUAAAGAAGCCAUGAGGGAGCAGGAGCCUACUCCACUUUGCUUUCCUGGUCACCAUGACAAAUAAUUCUGGGCAUUUUACUGCAAGCACACACAUGGGGGAGGAAAGCCACUUUAUCAGAAAAACACAUCUACCCAGUAGCAGCAUUCAGACUCCUAUUUGUUCCCAGACCUGAUAGAAGCAUUGCGAUGAUGUGCUGAGUUGGAAGAGCUUCUGGCUACUGGCAUCCUAAUAAGCAGAGCAAGAAUCUUAUUUUCUCUUGGAAGUAACUUAUUCUUUGUGGCCACCACAGGCAAUUUUUUUUCUAAAUGACAAGAGCUUUGAUCCUGACUAGCCUGCAGGCAUAGAUGCAUGUUUUAAUAGAAACAGGAUCCCCUGCCACCACUGAACUAAUAGUAUUACAGUUCAUAUAUUGCCUGAGAGCCAGUGUAUAACUGGCAGAUUUUUUUAAUGUGGCACAAGAGAUGCUUCGCCUAAAGACAUACCUUUUAUUCAGGUAUUAAAAAUAAUCAUAAACUACAAAGUUUUGCCAUUCACAUUUAACUUCCCUGUUGUAGUUUUGCUGCAAAAAUAAUAACUUUUCUGUAGCUCUGAAUUGUAAUGAAAGUUCUACUAAUAAUUGGUGGUUAUCACGCUACAAAUCCACAAGAGGGUGCUGAGAAUCCACUUCUAACGUUCUAGUGCAUUUUCAGAUGGUGUUUACUUCUAAUAAGGAAAAGUGCGCAGACUUGCAAUACACCUGCCUCGUGCAAAUAAAAUGCUUGUGAUGUUAUGAGAUACACUGUACAUACAUGCACUGAAAUGGAAAACUAGUAUAAAAAGUGACAACUGUUAGUAAGACUAAUGCAGACUUGCACCUACCAUAAAAAGGCAGGCAACAAAGCAUCUCAUGCUGAAUACACAGAAUGAGUAAUACUCUUAGGACAGUGAAAUUGUCAUGGUCCUAAUGAAGGACAAGUCCUGCAUUUUAAAGGGUGUUUUCUAAGUCGUGGCAGCUGCAAGAUUUGUUCCUUUAUUUGCAGAACUGGUACCUUUUGUCUGAAGGCUGGGCGACUCAAGGACUGAGAUCCCAGAGCUUGCUUUUCUCCUUCAUUAGUCCCUUUGAAACUGCUCUGUGUAGGCUUCCUGCAUUUAACAAGAUAGAGGAUGCAGUUGGGGACUAAUUCAUUUAGUCACUCAUCUUUUGUAUUCUAUUUGUAGUUACAGCUGGUUGUUAGGAAGGGAAGAGACUAUUACAGCUUCCCAGUGUUAGAUUUUUCCAGUGACGAUUGUGAGCUGAAUACAAUGGGUGCUUGUCUUGUCAUUCUACCUUGUUGACUCCAAUGGCAUUGCAGAAUGUUAAUUUGGUUUGGUACUUAAUCAUUUUAAAACUUC